AUGAUGGCGGAUUUGCCAGGCGCACGCAAAGAAAGGUUCACCACAGAAGAGACCGAUGUGCUUGUCAGAGCAGUCAAAGAACGCGAGUUGACUUUAUAUGGGGAUGGGAGAAACCCACCCAAAAUUGCUUCGGUGAAAGCGGCUUGGGAGGAAAUCGCCGUAAUUGUUUCAGCAGCUGGACAAAAUAGGACAUCUCUCCAUUGCCGUAAGCGGUACAACGACGUCAGGAGAAGAGGCAAGGCCAAGCUUGCGGCCAACUUGCAAGCACGUCAAAAGACUGGAGGAGGAUCUGGCAGUUACCAGGACCUCACGCCAGCAGAGGAUAUCGCUGCGUCAACACUGACCGCUGAAAGUGUUGAGGGUUUUGGGGGCUUUGAAGUCGGCACCCAACCCGAUGCACCAGCUGUCCAACCCCAAGCUUCUCAGGAAGAAGCCUCGGGACCAGCGCGCACGGGGCAGCUGAGGGAGCCGCGCGGCGCACUCAAGCAAGACGCCGUGGAAGCAGCGCCAGCAGCAUGAGACCGCAGGACCACCCGUUCCUGCAGCUCCAGCAAACCGGGUUCGACAUGCUGGAGCGGGAGCUGGCCGGGAUGCGGCGAAACACCAACACCCGUCUGGACCGGGUGGCGAUGUUGCUGCGGCCUCUCGGGCGCAUCGCCUCAAGUUUGGACCGGAUUGCGACAGCAAUGGAACGUGCAUGGCCCCCAAACGACCCACCUCCUCCGCCUGUUGUGCCCCUUCCUCCCCCUGUUGUACCCCUUCCUCCCCCCAUUCCAUCUCCAUCCACCCGCUCCACCAGGAGCACAUCCAGCAUCGCCACUCCCGGAGAGGAGGGAGAAAAUAAAUAUUUUUUCCUUCAAAUCUUUGCAACUUUUCAUUUUUCGUUUUGUAUUUUUUUUUCAUUUACGCCUACGAACAUUUGGACAAGCCGAAUAAAAAAUGUCUCAAGGACAUACUAUACUUUCCGAUGUUUUGGGCUCACUUUCUCUGACUCACAAGGUUAUGAAUGCA
rnacentral:lncRNA from 1 species